rnacentral:rRNA from 1 species
AUUGAACGCUGGCGGCAGGCCUAACACAUGCAAGUCGAAUGGUAACAGGAAACAGCUUGCUGUUUCGCUGAAGAGUGGCGGAUGGGUGAGUAAUGGCUGGGAAACUGCCUGAUGGAGGGGGAUAACUACUGGAAACGGUAGCUAAUACCGCAUAACGUCGCAAGACAAAAGAGAGGGACCUUCGGGCCUCUUGCCAUCAGAUGGGCCCAGAUGGGAUUAGCUAGUAGGUGGGGUAACGGCUCACCUAGGCGACGAUCCCUAGCUGGUCUGAGAGGAUGACCAGCCACACUGGAACUGAGACACGGUCCAGACUCCUACGGGAGGCAGCAGUGGGGAAUAUUGCACAAUGGGCGCAAGCCUGAUGCAGCCAUGCCGCGUGUAUGAAGAAGGCCUCCGGGUUGUAAAGUACUUUCAGCGUGGAGGAAGGGAGUAAAGUUAAUACCUUUGCUCAUUGACGUUACCCUCAGAAGAAGCACCGGCUAACUCCGUG